UACGGAGGGUGCAAGCGUUAUCCGGAUUCACUGGGUUUAAAGGGUGCGUAGGAGGGCAGGUAAGUCAGUGGUGAAAUCUCCAAGCUUAACUUGGAAACUGCCGUUGAUACUAUCUGUCUUGAAUAUUGUGGAGGUCAGCGGAAUAUGUCAUGUAGCGGUGAAAUGUCUAGAUAUACAUAGAACACCAAUUGCGAAGGCAGCUGGCUACACAAUUAUUGACACUGAGGCACGAAAGCGUGGGGAUCAAACAGG
rnacentral:rRNA from 1 species